CAAGGGACUGACUUAGUGGCGAACGGGUGAGUAACGCGUGAGCAACCUGCCUUUCAGUGGGGGACAACAGUUGGAAACGACUGCUAAUACCGCAUGAAGCAUAAUGAUCGCAUGGUCGAUAUGCCAAAGAUUUAUUGCUGAAAGAUGGGCUCGCGUCUGAUUAGAUAGUUGGUGAGGUAACGGCCCACCAAGUCGACGAUCAGUAGCCGGACUGAGAGGUUGAACGGCCACAUUGGGACUGAGAUACGGCCCAGACUCC
rnacentral:rRNA from 1 species